AUCUGCCCAAAAGAAAAUGAAAAAUGGGUUAAAAUAAGAGGGACGUAUACAAAAUAAGAAGUUUUCGACAAAGUCCUUGGGAGCACGUGGCAGAAGCGGAUAGGGAAACCAAAGGAGAAGACCAAAGUGGACUUUGGUCUCGAUUCAUUUUGUUCGGCUCCUUCUUCUCUCUCUCUCGACAACCCACACUGAUUUCGCGUUUAAUCGAAAACCUGACCGCCGAAUCGAAUCAACACCAGUUCAUUCUCGAGUCUCGGCCUCGUUUCUUAUCAUCUCCAUAUUCUCUCUCUCUCUCGACGGAGAUUUCGACCACAACCGUCUAUACUCGCUCACUCCACACGGAUCUCGCCUCGCUUGUGCUCCGAAUCGAAACAAAUCCAGCAAAGCAAAAAAUUCAUCUCCAUCAGAACAAAACACAGAGGAACAUGUCACUAUUGGAAGUGAGGAGAGAUACUUGCAGCUAUCAGAUGUGCGGAUUCCUUUGAUUUUUGUAAGUCACCUUAGUGAGAGUGCCAAGACUGGGAUGUUACUUCCUUGUGAUUUUAUUUUCAGACAUAAUGACGAUACAUUUCUUCUUCCUGGUGUUUAUGUUAAGAAGAGCAUCAGAUGAACCUAGAGGCCAUGCGGCGGCCAUAAUGAACGAGGUCUUACUCGAUGCAGAUUGCAAAGGAGUCAUAAACGGUUUUGUGUUGCAGGUGUUUUGCCUUGUUUUAAAUUUAUUUUCCUCUGGUGUUUGUGAAGAGUGUCAUUGUAAAGUGUGUGUCAUCAAAAUACUAAAAAAAUUACCUAAGGACUAAACUAAAGUCCCACCAAUAAUCUUAACAUUUUGUUGUGUUCUUCCACUUGUCUCUUAACAUCACACAUACUAAUAUAAUAAUCCUAAGGACUCAAAUUUUGUCCCACCAAUAAUGAUGGUCUAAAAGUCCUUCUAGUAUGUGAAGCGAUUUAGUCGGUACAAGAAUCCUGAUGCUGUUCGACAAGUUCGAGAUUCUGUGUUCUUGGCAAUCUCUGUCCUGAAACUGCUGAAGAAGCAGUGGCAAUGGUUCCUUCUCUCAAGACAAAAGGAAGAGCUCAUAGUGAUGAAGCAAUUGAGAAGAUGCUCUCAAGAUCUAAAGAUUAUAAACAUAUUUCAGGGUGCAACAUUCACCUUUCUAGCUGUUGAUGUCUGAGAGUUAGUUUUUUCAUGUCUAAAUUAUUAAAAAAGCUAACAUGGUCAGAAUCUCCGGAAUGAUAUCAUCAUGUUAAAUGAAUGUGAUUUACAAUGGCU